rnacentral:ncRNA from 1 species
CGUAGGAAAUUUGAGAGGAGCUGUCCUUAGUACGAGAGGACCGGGAUGGACGAACCUCUGGUGCACCAGUUGUCGCGCCAGCGGCACAGCUGGGUAGCCAUGUUCGGAUGGGAUAAGCGCUGAAGGCAUCUAAGCGCGAAGCCCACCUCAAGAUGAGAUUUCCCAUAGCGUUAAGCUAGUAAGACCCCUGGAAGAACACCAGGUUGAUAGGCCAGAGGUGUAAGCGUCGUAAGGCGUUUAGCUGACUGGUACUAAUAGGUCGA